GGCUGCAGGUGCAUGACAGCUGUCAGUAGCUACACUCUGUCUUAGCUUGUGUUGACUUUCCUCUGAGGCUAAGUGUGUUAGCUUUCAAAGGCUACAGGUUCUACAAGCUAAUGAAAGAACUGCACACACACAUUCAAGCUCAGUUAUCUCUACAUUCAGAUUCGCAGUUAGUUACCCAAAUGUUUGCAGCAUGUGCUCCCAUCCUCGUUCCCGCCAGGUAAAAGGGCCAACUGUCAAACAGGAAGUGGGAGAAUCCAAUUGUAUUUAUACAAGGGGGGACCCGGACUGUACCAAGUGGGCUAGAGUACAGGGGGGUGCGUGGUUGUUGUCAGACUCGGUACAACUGGUAGACUCGGUAGCGAUAGCUGAGCUUUUCAAAGAUCCUUAUGAGGCUCAGUGAAUUUUAAAGUCCAGCACCCAAAGCGAGGAAAUGAAAGGUCCCAGUGUGAAGGGGGCUCGGCCGGUUAGACACCGGCGGCGCGGCCCCUGGUUCGAGUCCUGCCCGUGGCCGGUACCUGGAGAAACGUGAAUUUACAACAGUUUUUAAGAUGUUGGAAGCCUUACUAACUAAAAUACUGCAUUCAGCAUUAGUAACACAGUAGCCACACAGCAGACCCUUCAGUCUUUUGUCGGUUUAGACAUGUCGACCUCCCAAGUGUGUGUGCAGUCAACAACUACUGCUUUACUGAUUACUUCUGAUUUUUCAUCCCUUUAUCUCGAACAGCCACUUAUCCCGUUGAGCUGCAGCUCUUGAAUUAAAUUAAAGCAACUUCAACAGCUGGACUUACAGAAGGACCAGUUUGAGUUCGCCCUGACAGCCGUCGCUGAGGAGGUCAACGCCAUCCUCAAAGCUCUGCCCCAGUGAAACCAGUACAACCAGCCCCUGCCCCCCUUCUUGCCUUGCCUUUUCUCUCUAUGAUGAUGAUGAUGAUGAUGAUGAUGACAAAGAGUGACGUGCUUCUCUGCCCGUUGCGUCAUUCCUUGAAACAUAGUGGUGAUGUCAAAAAAAUAAAAAUAAAUAAAAACACUGUAAGGGUAGGAAGGAUUAAACAUGUGAUGUGUUCAGGGACGUUCAGAGGGUAGAAGUGCUGAAAGAAAGUGUUGCAUCUGAAUGAAAAUGAAAGCAGGAAGAUAAAACAGAGCAGACAGACUCCUGAUGGCUUUUAAAACCACUGUCAUGCCUCAUAAAGUAACUUUGACUCCAGCCUGUGGAGAUCCAGCCUGACGCUCCAGUUUGAGCCACACUGAAGCAGAAACUAAUUCUUCGUCUUAUAUGUGGUUGAAGUUUGUUGAAAUUGUGCUGCUGUUGGGUCACGUUUGGCUUUGGUCUCAAUAAGGAAGCAAAAUAUCAUAAAUAUUGAUUUUAAAGCAUCAGAAGGCUCCACAAAGCUCAAACGAUUAGAUGUGUAAAACGCCAAGUGGAAAAGAGAGUUGCAGUGUGAAAGAUACCGGUCCCCGGUGAACCACAGGAGGAUCAGGAUGAAGUCUGAUUGUUUGCACAUCCUGCUCGGUCUGUAGCUGCCCUUCCUCUCCUCACGUGACAACAACGUCCUUCUCUUUGUGUGCCAUUCAGAUUAUUUUACAUCACUGGAUAUAUUGUUGUAUACCUCACGCAAAUCAGAAAAAGAAAAAAAAAAUUAAAAAAGAAAAUGCUAUUCUAUGAAAACAAGAAAAGCUCUUUUGUACAUGUGAGACCUUAAAUAAAUCUUUUCGUGUUUAAGUGCUGCAA